rnacentral:rRNA from 1 species
GCUAAGGUAGCAUAAUCAUUUGUUUUUUAAUUGGGAACUGGAAUGAAAGGUUAAACUAAGUUGUGUAGUUUGUUUAUCUAUAUAGUAAAUUAAAGUCAAGGUAAGAAUUCUUUGAUAUUUUAGGGGACGAUAAGACCCUAGAAUCUUUAUAAAUUGUCUUAUAUUUUGUAUUAUGUGUUAAUUUUUUUUGCUGGGGCGGCAAAAAAGGAUUAUCCUUUUUUAUUUUGGUAGAUCCUUUAAAUAAAGAUGUAGCGGUGAAGUUACUCUAGGGGUAA